rnacentral:misc_RNA from 1 species
GUCUUCCGAAAAAUGUUUUAACCCUUCGCUGGGCGCCGCAAAUUCAAGUUUUGAAGCACAAAAAUAUACGAGCGUUCAUAACGCACGGUGGAUUGGGAGGAUGUUUGGAGUCACUUAGGUACGCCGUGCCGUUAAUAGGUGUGCCAUUAUUCGCCGAUCAAUUCAGUAACAUAGACGCAGCUGUGCACAGAGGAAUCGCGGUGAGACUCGAUCACGAAAAAUUGACGGCAGACAAAAUUAUUGAAGCGGUAAAAAGCGUCGUUCACGACACGAAAUACAAGAACAACAUGAUCAAGUUAUCGAAAGAAUUUCUGGAUCGACCAAAAAGUCCGAGAGAAACGAGCGUAUUUUGGAU